AUGUUCACACUUCAGCAGCACAUGUACGAAAAUUGGAAUGAUACAGAGAAGAUUAGCAUGACCUCUGCAUAAGGAUGACAUGCAAAUUCGUGAAGUGUUCCAUGUUUAA